ensembl:lncRNA
CAUGAACAAACAUCGGAGACACUGCUUCGAAGAGAUGAUUCUACAUUUGGCUCAUCAGAUUCCAGAGGUUGAAGCUGGCAGGGAGAUUUUAAGAAAAUGGCAUCUGGUUAAAGGUCACUGUUCAGGGGGCCCAGUGGGUGAAAGGUUGAAUAACUCCAAGAAAACUAGUGACCAAUUCAGAGGGAGGUGUUUUAGACACUGUUGCAGAAGAACUCAAGAAAAGUACAACAAGUAAACAAGCAAUAAUACAUUUUCAAAUUGCCAUUGCAUAUGUAUAUAUAAAUAAAUUAAUAAAUACAAAAAAACGA